AUUGAACGCUGGCGGCAUGCCUAACACAUGCAAGUCGAACGGCAGCGCGGGGGCAACCCUGGCGGCGAGUGGCGGACGGGUGAGGAAUGCAUAGGAAUCUGCCCGGUUGUGGGGGAUAACGUAGGGAAACUUACGCUAAUACCGCAUACGACCUUCGGGUGAAAGUGGGGGACCUUCGGUCCUCACGCGAUCGGAUGAGCCUAUGCCCGAUUAGCUAGUUGGCGGGGUAAGAGCCCACCAAGGCGACGAUCGGUAGCUGGUCUGAGAGGAUGAUCAGCCACACUGGGACUGAGACACGGCCCAGACUCCUACGGGAGGCAGCAGUGGGGAAUAUUGGACAAUGGGCGCAAGCCUGAUCCAGCAAUGCCGCGUGUGUGAAGAAGGCCUUCGGGUUGUAAAGCACUUUUGUUCGGGAAGAAAUCCGUGUGGUUAAUACCCGUACGGGAUGACGGUACCGAAAGAAUAAGCACCGGCUAACUUCGUG
rnacentral:rRNA from 1 species